GAUGAACGCUGGCGGCGUGCUUAACACAUGCAAGUCGAACGAUGAAGCUCAGCUUGCUGGGUGGAUUAGUGGCGAACGGGUGAGUAACACGUGAGUAACCUGCCCUUAACUCUGGGAUAAGCCUGGGAAACUGGGUCUAAUACCGGAUAGGAGCGUCCACCGCAUGGUGGGUGUUGGAAAGAUUUAUCGGUUUUGGAUGGACUCGCGGCCUAUCAGCUUGUUGGUGAGGUAAUGGCUCACCAAGGCGACGACGGGUAGCCGGCCUGAGAGGGUGACCGGCCACACUGGGACUGAGACACGGCCCAGACUCCUACGGGAGGCAGCAGUGGGGAAUAUUGCACAAUGGGCGCAAGCCUGAUGCAGCGACGCCGCGUGAGGGAUGACGGCCUUCGGGUUGUAAACCUCUUUCAGUAGGGAAGAAGCGAAAGUGACGGUACCUGCAGAAGAAGCACCGGCUAACUACGUG
rnacentral:rRNA from 1 species